rnacentral:rRNA from 1 species
UACGAAGGGGGCUAGCGUUGCUCGGAAUCACUGGGCGUAAAGGGCGCGUAGGCGGCCCUCUAAGUCAGACGUGAAAUCCCACGGCUUAACCGUGGAACUGCGUCUGAUACUGGAGGGCUUGAAUCCGGGAGAGGGAUGUGGAAUUCCAGGUGCAGCGGUGAAAUGCGCAGAUAUCAGGAAGAACACCCGUGGCGAAGGCGGCUCUCUGGUACGUGACUGACGCUGAGACGCGAAAGCGUGGGGAGCAAACAGG